GAAGAAGAAGAAGAAGAAGAAGAAGAAGAAGAAGACCUUUUUAUUCCUCGGGUUGGAAUAGGUUCCUAUAGGUUGCUUUAGAAUAUCCUAAUGUAUUACACUAUGUGACUGUCGACAGGCUGUGGCCCUUAUACAUAGAAAUGUUUAGGCUACUCUUGUAUACAAAAAAGAAUAACAGACUCUCGGCACGACAUGUGGAAGCUGCGUCAAAUGGAGGUAGUUUACGGUAAAAACGGCGCCCUUUUACCAUGUGAUUUCACCGAUGUUUGUAAACAUGCGUCAACCACAUGUGAUUUUGACGAUGAGGAAAUAGUGUCCGGCCAACCAGCGGCCGGGGGUGUAUCAGGGGCGGAGUUCCCGUGUUGCGCUAUGGAAAAUCGUACAAGAGAUACACAGUGAUAAACGUGCCCUCCGAGAUUCAUAAUAGAGACAAUAAGGCUGAAACGGGAACGUAGCAACCUGAGGACCGGGUCUGAGAGGAACCGGCCGGGAAAUGGACCUGCCCGCCUAGGAACAGAAGGGGAACAUGAAUGGGAUAAAACACGAAAGGACAUGGCCUCAGAAUGCAGUUUUUCUUAAAGACAUCCGCUCCAGGGAACUGGUUUCGGAUGGUGUUUUAGAGUGUAAAAUAUGAUCUAGCACCAUUUGAAAUCGGUGUUCUUGAGAGGGAACCGACUCCAGGAAGGACGACAGUGACCACUUCAUUCACAAGUUGCAUCACUAGGAUUUCAUUAUGGUGGCAUUGUUUUCACUCAAUAUUUUACAAACCAUUUUCAGAUGUGUUAUGCCAUCAGUCAAGACAAUCCGUUUAUACGAUUAUGUGGCCACUGGAUAAGUCCUUUAUUAGCUUUCGCUCCAAUAACCAGAAGAAAAAAGGGAUGUUUGAGUCUAAAUCUCCUGAGCAGCUGAGUCUGCCCCUCUUACCAAGGCUGACCGUUUUCGUCUGGUGUUCAGAGUUUCCAUCAUGUCUAGCACCAUUUGAAAUCGGUUACAAUGUAGAGGGACUAUCAACAAAGCUUGGCUCCAGCAGUUGCAUGAUGAAUUCCCUAAAAGUACCAGAAGAUGGCAGUAAUGAGCUACGAUCCAAGGCAUGUGUUUUUUUUUUUUAAAUGACAGAAGCAGUGAAGGUUUUACCAGAUAACCCUGAUCCCUGUUCCAUUGAGUUCCUUUUUGUUAGUCUGUUGCACUUUUAAAUAAUUCAGUUUCCUCUAUAAUCAUGUUGCUGUCACUCAGCCGUGCUGCGUGCGAGUUCCAGAUACAGUUAUCUUGUCCUGUAUACGUUUCCUCCAGGAACAGAUGGAAGCUGGUAACAAAGAAAAGAUAUGGUUAAAUGCUUCAGUAGUUCAGAAGUUGUGAGCCGUUUUCACAGCUGUCAAGUUCUGAUAUUCCCUUCAUACAUUUACAUCUAGAACUAGUGCACAUUAUUUGUUAAAUUAACAUUUGUUGGCCACAUUUCCUUACUUACUGUUUCAUUCAUAAAUAAAAAAGUGGUCAAAGUUGUACAGUGUUUUAUUUACCUCAUUAAAUGAGGCCGUUUUGGCUGACUAUGUAAUACAAAUGUAGCUAAUAAACUAUGUUUUAUAUGA